rnacentral:rRNA from 1 species
ACUCAAAGGAAUAGACGGGGGCCCGCACAAGCGGUGGAACAUGUGGUUUAAUUCGAAGCUACGCGAAAAACCUCACCAGGGCUUGACAUACAGGAAGUAGUGAAGUGAAAGCGGAACGACCCGUUAAGUCGGGAACCUGAACAGGUGCUGCAUGGCUGUCGUCAGCUCGUGUCGUGAGAUGUUGGGUUAAGUCCCGCAACGAGCGCAACCAUUAUCAUUUGUUGCCACUUUAUCUGUCUUUGACAGGUAGAAGCACUCUAAUGAGACUGCCCGGGAUAACCGGGAGGAAGGUGGAGAUGACGUCAAGUCAGUACGGCCUUUAUGCCCUGGGCGACACACGUGUUACAAUGGGUAGGACAAAGGGUUGCCAACCCGCGAGGGGGAGCUAAUCUCAAAAACCUACCCCCAGUUCAGAUUGGAGUCUGCAAUUCGACUCCAUGAAGCCGGAAUCGCUAGUAAUGGCAGAUCAGCACGCUGCCGUGAAUACGUUCCCGGGCCUUGUACACACCGCCCGU